rnacentral:rRNA from 1 species
GUGAGGAAUAUUGGUCAAUGGACGCAAGUCUGAACCAGCCAUGCCGCGUGCAGGAAGACGGCUCUAUGAGUUGUAAACUGCUUUUGUACGAGGGUAAACGCAGAUACGUGUAUCUGUCUGAAAGUAUCGUACGAAUAAGGAUCGGCUAACUCCGUGCCAGCAGCCGCGGUAAUACGGAGGAUUCAAGCGUUAUCCGGAUUUAUUGGGUUUAAAGGGUGCGUAGGCGGUUGGAUAAGUUAGAGGUGAAAUCCCGGGGCUCAACUCCGGAAUUGCCUCUGAUACUGUUCGGCUAGAGAUCAGUUGCGGUAGGCGGAAUGUAUGGUGUAGCGGUGAAAUGCUUAGAGAUCAUACAGAACACCGAUUGCGAAGGCAGCUUACCAAGCUGAAUCUGACGUUGAGGCACGAAAGCGUGGGUAGCAAACAGG